UAUAAAAUAGAAGAAUAAAGGUAAGGUCUUAAGGUCUAAUUUUAAUUUUAAAUUAAAUAAAUUGGUAAUCCUACUAAAACUUGUCAAUUUUUACGCUAAGUGACGUUACUUGCGGUUUGAUAUAAACUUGACAAAAGUGGUAAUUUACUCUUGAAACAAAUACAGAGGAGGAAUAUGAAGAGAAUUCGGAUUAGUGGACUAUAAAUACAAUACAAUACAAAACACUCAGAGGGAAGAAACAAGUAAAAAAAGCCCUAGAAUUAGAAUGGAUUCAUCGGAAUCGGAGUCUGCAAAGAUAGUCCUUUCCAUAGACGAUCUCCUGAUGAAAAUCUUAGCCGGAUUACCUCUACAUCCCUACGCCUGUUCAAAUCUGUCUGUAAGCGAUGGUUAUCCCUCAUCACCGAUCCUACCUUCAAUGCCCUCCGCACCAGAACCCCUAACGCCGAUCACCCUAAAGGUUUGUUAUUCCAACUACAAUCGUCAUCUUCUGUACUUGUAUACAUCUCAUUCCAAUUGGAUGCCCCUCCUACUCGUUUGAUAAGAUUCCCUUACGCCACAAAUUCGCAGCGAUACUCCUAUUGUAUAACGACCGCCCUGAUAAGUUAUAUGUAUACAACCCAACCAUAAAUCAGUGUAAGUUGCUUCCCCUGCCCCAUGUUUGGGUACCAAACAGAUCCCUUAAAGCUAUGGCAAUAGCUUUUGAUCCUCCAAUCUCACAACACUACAAGCUUGUCUACGCUCACCAAGAUUUUACUAGGCCUGGUACACCUGUUCAUGUAGAGAUUUACUCGUCGGAAACAGGCGUUUGGAGGGCUUGUGAGCGGACUUUUCAGCUAAUAUCUUUUGUAGCCUUUGAUCAUGUGUAAGUUAGAGGACUUCGACACAUGCGCGCACGAGAAUGUGUGUCAAAAUGUGUUCUGGAUUAUACAUGGAUCGCCUAUGCUAAAGACCUUGGCAAUUACCAAUUGUGCUUAUGUACCAUCGGCUGCGCCACUACCCGAGUCCCUAAACUUGAAGGUGUUGGAGUUUAGUGACGUUGUGUACCAUGGAUUAAUGCCUGUGUUUCAACUUUUGGAAGGUUGUCCCAAUUUGGAGCAUCUUUGUGUAGGACAAGUCUUCGACAGUCUGAGUGGGACGCAGAUGUAUCUCCGCCGAGAUGCAUGGUGGAUAGAAUGAGGACGGUGGAGCUUAAACGCCAUCGUGAGGAGGGGAGUGCAGCGUUUGCGUUGGCAGAGUAUGUCUUGCAGCAUGCUAACCGGCUGAAGAAACUCUUGAUCACAUGCGUCGAAGACAUGCCACAACAAGAUGUGGUGAGGAUGCGUAAAGGACUGACGGAGGGCUCAAUAGAAUCCAUGUGAGACGCAGCUGACCCGUUCAUGUUCAUCAUUAGAUGUUGACCACGAGUAGUCAAUACUAACCCUCCAAGAUUACCAACACCAGGACUGUUCAUUAGGGGAGUUAAGUCAUUUACACCUCAUCUAAAUUCUCAAAAUUACCCUUUUGCCCUCCCACAUUCUGACUUUUCUUCCCAUUUCCACUGUUUGGUUGACUGUUAUUCUUUGAUGAAGUUGAAAUUCUCUUUUAGAAAUUACAUAUAUAGAAAUCUUAAAAGCU